rnacentral:lncRNA from 1 species
AGGUAUAACGUACACACUGUAACUUUCAUCCAGGGUAAGUGUCCAAUUCAACGAUUGUUCGUUGUUGAUGUAUUGUUGUGCGCCCAUCAUUGAAGUCCGGCUUUAGAAUUCACCCCCAAAUUCCCCUGUGUCCACAGCCAUCGUGAUUCCUUUAAUUGUGCUUAUGUUUUGCCUUUAUGUCCUGGAGCCAAUUAUUAUAACAAAAGAAUAAAUGCUUUUUUUUCAAGCUUUAUUGCACUAUCAUUGAUAUGUAACGGUGUAUAAGUUUCAGGUGCACAGCGUGAUGAUUUGAUAUAUUUAUAUAUUGCAAAAUAUGCAAGUCUCCUCAGUAGAGGACAUGGAAGAUUAUCACAGUGGGGCUGGCUGACCCCUCCACCACCUUACAAAUGACCAUUUCUUCUCUGUGGUGAGAACACUUAAGAUCUACUCUCUUAGCAGCUUUCAAGUGUGUCAUACAGUAUGGUUAAUGACAGUCGCCCUGCUGUACGUCGGAUCCCCAGAUCUUAUUCCUCUUGUAGCUGGAAGUCUGGGCUCGGUGACCAACAUCUCUCAAUUUUCCCCAACACUCAGCCCCUGGCAACCACCCUUCUAAUCUCUGUUUCUGUGAAUUCAGGAGGAAUCCUCUCUGACUGAGACGGGGGUCAGCCCUUUUUUGUUCUAUUCAGGCCUUCGACUGAUUAGAUGAGGCCCACCCACAUUCGGGAGGACAAUCUGCUCUACUCUGUCUACUGAUUCCCAUGUGAAGCUCAUCCAGAAACAGGCUCACAGACACAUCCAGCAUAAUGCUCACCAAACAUCUGGGCCCCCCAUGGCCCAGUCAAGUGGACACAUAAAAUUAACUCUCACUGGGAGAGAUGAAGAAGGGAAUUUAAACUGAUACAGAAUGUGGUCAUGCGCAAGCUGCUUCUUUGUACACCUGGGGCUCAAUCCGUCUGGUGGGCUCUGGUUGAUGGUCAUCUCAAAGGGUCCCACCCCAGUGGUGAGGAAACUGAGGUAUUCGUCUUCUGUCUCCCAUCUGACGUUGCCUGAAGGAUGCUCCUGGGGACUUUUAUUCCUAGCACUUCUUGCUUCCGCCAAGAACAAGCCCUCAGGUGCGGAGUCUUGGGUGCUGGCCCCGGGAUGUCUUCUGCUUGCAUGGGGAUGUCGAGAGCCUGACGGACACAGGAAGGCUGUGAACAUGGAGCCGGCAGCAUCCACACGUCCUCCUCUGUGGAGAGAGAUGGAGACUUCUUGGAAUCUUGGUGGUGAAGCCCUGAGCCAUUGUGUAAGAAGUCCAAUGACCCUGCUGGACAGACAUGUGGGGCAAC